AUUGAACGCUGGCGGAAUGCUUUACACAUGCAAGUCGAACGGCAGCACGGACUUCGGUCUGGUGGCGAGUGGCGAACGGGUGAGUAAUGUAUCGGAACGUGCCCAGUCGUGGGGGAUAACGUAGUGAAAAUUACGCUAAUACCGCAUACGCUCUAUGGAUGAAAGCGGGGGAUCGCAAGCCCUCGCGCGAUUGGAGCGUCCAAUAUCAGAUUAGGGAGUUGGUGGGGUAAAGGCCCACCAAGCCAACGAUCUGUAGGUGGUCUGAGAGGACGAUCAGCCACACUGGAACUGAGACACGGUCCAGACUCCUACGGGAGGCAGCAGUGGGGAAUUUUGGACAAUGGGCGAAAGCCUGAUCCAGCCAUUCCGCGUGCAAGAUGAAGGCCCUCGGGUUGUAAACUGCUUUUGUACAGAACGAAAAGGUUUCUACUAAUACUAGGAGCUCAUGACGGUACUGUAAGAAUAAGCACCGGCUAACUACGUGCCAGCCGCCGCAGUAA
rnacentral:rRNA from 1 species